rnacentral:rRNA from 1 species
AUCCAGACUCCUACGGGAGGCAGCAGUGGGGGAUAUUGCACAAUGGGGGAAACCCUGAUGCAGCGACGCCGCGUGUGGGAAGACGGUCCUCUGGAUUGUAAACCACUGUCCCCAGGGACGAAGAUGACGGUACCUGGGGAGGAAGCUCCGGCUAACUACGUGCCAGCAGCCGCGGUAAUACGUAGGGAGCGAGCGUUGUCCGGAAUUACUGGGUGUAAAGGGAGCGUAGGCGGGGAUGCAAGUUGGGUGUUAAAUCUGCCGGCUCAACUGGUAGUCGCACUCAAAACUGCAGCUCUUGAGUGAAGUAGGGGCAGGCGGAAUUCCUAGUGUAGCGGUGAAAUGCGUAGAUAUUAGGAGGAACACCAGUGGCGAAGGCGGCUUUCUGGACUGAAACUGACGCUGAGGCACGAAAGCGUGGGGAGCGAACAGGAUUAGAUACCCCGG